rnacentral:rRNA from 1 species
CCUACGGGGGGCAGCAGUCGAGAAUCUUCGGCAAUGGGCGCAAGCCUGACCGAGCGACGCCGCGUGCGGGAUGAAGGUCUUCGGAUUGUAAACCGCUGUCGGAGGGGAUGAAAUGCAUGGGGGUACUCCCCUGUGUUUGACAGAGCCUCGGAGGAAGCACGGGCUAAGUUCGUGCCAGCAGCCGCGGUAAUACGAACUGUGGGAACGUUAUUCGGAAUCGGUUGCCUAGGAGGGUGCGUAAGCCGCGUCUGAAAUCCCCCGGCUCAACCGGGGAACUGCGCUUGAAACUGGGGUGCUCGAGUGAGGUAGGGGUGUAUGGAACUUCCGGUGGAGCGGUGAAAUGUGUAGAUAUCGGAAGGAACGCCGGCGGCGAAAGCGGUACACUGGGCCUUGUCUGACGCUGAGGCACGAAAGCUAGGGGAGUGAACGGGAUUAGAUACCCCAGUAGUC